UUAUGUGAUCGUCUCUCGCAUAUCAAUAAGCGGAGGAAAAGAAACUAACAAGGAUUCCCCUAGUAACGGCGAGUGAAGCGGGAAGAGCUCAAAUUUGAAAUCUUAAAGGGUUUCCCUUUACGAAUUGUAGUUUAAAGAAGUGUUUUCUGUUGAGGUUUUGGUAAAAGUUCUUUGGAAUAGGACAUCAUAGAGGGUGAGAAUCCCGUAUUUGACCUUUACUUUCAACUUUGUGAUACACUUUCAAAGAGUCGGAUUGUUUGGGAAUGCAGUCCAAAAUGGGUGGUAAAUUUCAUCUAAAGCUAAAUAUUGGCGAGAGACCGAUAGCGAACAAGUACCGUGAGGGAAAGAUGAAAAGAACUUUGAAAAGAGAGUUAAACAGUACGUGAAAUUGUCAAAAGGGAAGCGUUUGACACCAGUGUUGUUUUUCUGAAAAUCAAUUAAAGAACUGUUUAUGCUAAGCUGUUUAGACUUUAUCAGCUAUCUGUUUAGUUUUGAGCUUUUCUUUAAUGCACUUUUCAGUUAACAAGUCAACAUCAAUUUCUUUUGCUGUAAAAAAGCUUGAGGAAGGUGGCUUGAGAUUCGUCUUAAGUGUUUAUAGCCUCUUGCCUAUGCAGUCGGAGAGAUUGAGGUCUGCAGCGUAGAUCCUUCGGGGCUAAAUGCAUUUGUGCUAAGUUAUAGCAUUUUAUAGACAACUUGUUGACUAUGAUUUGUCUUGUAGCUUACUCGCUUAUGUUAUUUUACCUACGCUUAGGAUGUUGAGCGCAUGUCUCUCUCU
rnacentral:rRNA from 1 species